rnacentral:tRNA from 1 species
UUCAGGAUGGCAGAUAAUAUGCGAUAGAUUUAGGUUCUAUAGAUGAAGAAUAACCUUCUCGUGAAG